rnacentral:rRNA from 1 species
UACGGGGGGUGCAAACGUUGCUCGGAAUCAUUGGGCGUAAAGCGUGUGUAGGCGGUCCGACUUGUCGGGUGUGAAAUCCCUCGGCUUAACCGAGGAAGGGCAUUCGAAACGGGCGGACUUGAGUACUGGAGGGGGUCACGGAAUUCCCGGUGUAGUGGUGAAAUACGUAGAUAUCGGGAGGAACACCUGUGGCGAAGGCGGUGACCUGGACAGAUACUGACGCUGAGUACACGAAAGCGUGGGGAGCAAACAGG